rnacentral:rRNA from 1 species
GAUGAACGCUGGCGGCGUGCCUAAUACAUGCGAGUCGAGCGAACAGACGAGGAGCUUGCUCCUCUGACGUUAGCGGCGGACGGGUGAGUAACACGUGGAUAACCUACCUAUAAGACUGGGAUAACUUCGGGAAACCGGAGCUAAUACCGGAUAAUAUAUUGAACCGCAUGGUUCAAUAGUGAAAGACGGUUUUGCUGUCACUUAUAGAUGGAUCCGCGCCGCAUUAGCUAGUUGGUAAGGUAACGGCUUACCAAGGCAACGAUGCGUAGCCGACCUGAGAGGGUGAUCGGCCACACUGGAACUGAGACACGGUCCAGACUCCUACGGGAGGCAGCAGUAGGGAAUCUUCCGCAAUGGGCGAAAGCCUGACGGAGCAACGCCGCGUGAAUGAUGAAGGUCUUCGGAUCGUAAAACUCUGUUAUUAGGGAAGAACAAAUGUGUAAGUAACUAUGCACGUCUUGACGGUACCUAAUCAGAAAGCCACGGCUAACUACGUG